GCACCUCAUUGUGACGAGACAGAGAGUGUCUGAUGUUUUCAUCCCAGUAGCACCUUCAUUGUGACGAGACAGAGAGUGUCUGAUGUUUCAUCCCAGUAGCACCUCAUUGUGACGAGACAGAGAGUGGUCUGAUGUUUCAUCCCAGGAAAGGAAAAAGCAGAAAUCUCAGUGACCUUCUGACCUGGAAAAGGAGUCGGAGGACAGUGAAAAAGACGGUGUUGAAAUCAGAGCAGAAAGCAGAGAGAACAGAGUUUUGCCUAAAGGUAGAAUGGCUGUUGAGCAGGUGUGGUAGAGAGAAACACACUGAAGCAGUGGAGGAGCUGAAGUCUGGACAGGAUGUAGCCUAACUGUGGAAAAAAAAUUACACAAACUAGCUGAUGCACACAUUACAAAUGACAACAGUUGCAACAAGCUUACUCUGCAUCAAUUGGUCUAUUUGUGCUGCUUGGCCACCUCGUCUCAGCUGUAGGGUGGAUAGCUCUCUCAAUGCUACAGUGAUCCAAAGGAAUGUGAACGGUUCCUAAUGGAAGACUCAUUUCCUGUCUCCCAGAAGUCAAUAGACUCACAUUCUAUUACUCACUGAGUCAACAAGCCUACCGGAGAUUCAACUCCUUCAUUGUAUUCGUUAGGGACAUUGUAGCACAACGUGCAAACUGUGUACCAUUUAGUAGCCUAGUCUUUUUAGUAUUCAGUGAAACAACGGGAAACAUAUAUAUUGUUUGAUUGAUUUGGAUUAAGGGUUUAGUCUUUGAUUUGGAUUAAGGGUUUAGUCUUUGAUUUGGAUUAAGGGUUUAGUCUUUGAUUUGGAUUAAGGGUUUAGUCUUUGAUUUGGAUUAAGGGUUUAGUCUUUGAUUUGGAUUAAGGGUUUAGUCUUUGAUUUGGAUUAAGGGUUUAGUCUUUGAUUUGGAUUAAGGGUUUAGUCUUUGAUUUGGUUUAGUGGAUUGUGUGGAUUCCCUUGGCCUCCUGUUGGUUAUCUCUUGAUGCCUGGUCUUGCUGUAAAGAGACUGAAUACAGUAUGAUUAUUGCUCGACUUCAUUUGUCUUCACCGUUGAACGACGUAUCAAUUGACAAGUCAAACUCCACUACCUUUACAAGCCUCUAUAGAAGAACCUCUGAUCAUUUUUUGUUKGAUAUAAGAAAGCACACAAGGAUUUUAUAUAUUUUUUAUUAAGACUUUUGUGUUGGUGAAAGAACCUACUAUGAUGGAGCGUGUUUAUCUUUUAGAAAAUAUAUUUGGAUCUUUUUCGGGGGGGAUUUUUCUAGCGAGAUUAAGAAAGACCGUACAUCAAGACUUGGUUUACUGCAACCAAUACUUCCUGUUUUGAACAUGACGUUAUUCUACCAUCAACUGUGAAGUGGAAGUGUUUUGAAGAGGACACUUCCACUGACAUUCUCAGUUGUUUCUCUGACACCUGUGAGCCUCGGAUAAAAAGGUGAUGUGUGUUUCCAGUCCUUAAAGCAGUGUGGUCUUAUCCCUUCUCUACUGUUUCAACUCUUCACAAAUGAAAACAUCUCAUCGCCAAAGUGGUGAAGAAGGAGGUCAUCUAUAGUAUGACAGGAGCAGUGGCUUGUUCCUUCCAGAAGACUUGAGGAUGAACUUCUCCGUCAGUGAUGA